GUACAGGCAAACAGUUCCAAAUAAGGGAAUGCAUGCUGUGCGAGUGUAAUGCUCUGCUUUCCUUAGUGGCAUGUUUUCAGCAAGUUUGCCAUGUGCUACAGCUGGCCUAGGCAGGAUUUUGCAGAAGGAAAGAAGAAUAUUCACACUAAGGUCCCUGAAGCCACACUUCUGCAAACUAGCAGCUACCAAAAAGGUCAAAGCAAGUAUUCUCAUUCUGACUGGAAUCCCUGCUUCAGAAUUCUGUAUUUGGAGCACUUCAGGAGAUGCCCGAAGUUUCUACUACCAUACUUAUAGAAUCACCAAAGCAGGAAAUACGAGCUCAUGCCAGCUUUCUUAGGGGGAAAAAGAAGAUCUUCAAACCAACAGUAUAAUUCUAGCAUCUCCAGAAAUGCUAAAGCCCUGACAAUUGCCUGAAGAAAAGUGUUGCAACGCAGGCAUAAAUUCAACCUUUAUGAGACAUUAUACAGAAAGAAGACUCCAGAAGAGUAGAUGGCCUGUGUCUUCACUUCUCUGGAGCAGGCUGAUUUCAUUUGACU
ensembl:lncRNA